UCUUGUAUGGAUUUAGGUUUUUUGCUUGACCAAGAAGCAACUUAUCUCUAAUGCAAAGCCAUUCACUUGAUCUUUGAUCAAGAUGAAUUAGAUUUGAAUCAAAGAAGGUUAAGCCCCUCAUAUGUCAAGGCUAACCACCAAUCAUUAACUCAUUGAUCAAAAAGAAAAAGAAGAAGAAGAAGAAGAAGAAGAAGAAGAAGAAGAAGAAGAAGAAG
rnacentral:lncRNA from 1 species